UUCCGGUUGAUCCUGCCGGAGGUUACCGCUUUCGGUGUUCGACUAAGCCAUGCAAGUCAUAUGUUCCUCGUGAACAUGGCAUACUGCUCAGUAACACGUGGAUAACCUGCCCUUGGGUCUGGGAUAACCCCGGGAAACUGGGGAUAAUACCGGAUAACGCAUAUGUGCUGGAAUGCUUUAUGCGUAAAAUGGAUUCGUCCGCCCAAGGAUGGGUCUGCGGCCUAUCAGGUAGUAGUGGGUGUAAUGUACCUACUACCCAACAACGGGUACGGGUUGUGAAAGCAAGAGCCCGGAGAUGGAUUCUGAGACAUGAAUCCAGGCCCUACGGGGCGCAGCAGGCGCGAAAACUUUACAAUGCGGGAAACCGUGAUAAGGGAACACCGAGUGCCAGCAUCAUAUGCUGGCUGUCCAGAUGUGUAAACUACAUCUGUUAGCAAGGGCCGGGCAAGACCGGUGCCAGCCGCCGCGGUAACACCGGCGGCCCGAGUGGUGACCGUUAUUAUUGGGUC
rnacentral:rRNA from 1 species